AAUGAACGUUGGCGGCGUGGAUUAAGCAUGCAAGUCGUGCGGAAAGGCUCCUUCGGGAGUACUCGAGCGGCGAAAGGGAGAGUAACGCGUGGAUAUCUACCCCCUGGCCUGGGAUAGCGGCGGGAAACUGCCGGUAAUACCAGAUAAUGUCUGCGGACCAAAGGUGUGAUUCCGUCGGGGGAUGAGUUCGCGUCCUAUUAGCUAGUUGGUAGGGUAAUGGCCUACCAAGGCACAAAUGGGUACCGGGUGUGAGAGCAUGGCCCGGCUCACUGGGACUGAGACACUGCCCAGACACCUACGGGUGGCUGCAGUCGAGAAUCUUCGGCAAUGGGCGCAAGCCUGACCGAGCGACGCCGCGUGCGGGAUGAAGGCCUUCGGGUUGUAAACCGCUGUCAGAGGGGAGGAAAUGCGUAGGAGUUCUCUCUUACGUUUGACCUAUCCUCAGAGGAAGUACGGGCUAAGUUCGUGCCAGCCGCCGCAGUAAAAC
rnacentral:rRNA from 1 species